ensembl:lncRNA
UUACAUUUUUCUGCGUCAGUAGGCCUACUCCGUCUGAAGUGUAAAGGUAGGCCUACUCUGUCUGGGGUGGAAAGGUAGGCCUACUCUGUCUGGGGUGGAAAGAUAGGUCCUACUCUGUCUGGGGUGUAAAGGUAGGCCUACUUUGUCUGGGGUGGAAAGGUAGGUCCUACUCUGUCUGGGGUGGAAAGGUAGGCCUACUCUGUCUGGGGUGGAAAGGUAGGUCCUACUCUGUCUGGGGUGGAAAGGUAGGCCUACUCUGUCUGGGGUGGAAAGGUAGGGCCUACUCUGUCUGGGGUGGAAAGGUAGGCCUACUCGGUCUGGGGUGGAAAGGUA